rnacentral:rRNA from 1 species
AUUGAACGCUGGCGGCAGGCUUAACACAUGCAAGUCGAGCGGAGAUGAGGUGCUUGCACCUUAUCUUAGCGGCGGACGGGUGAGUAAUGCUUAGGAAUCUGCCUAUUAGUGGGGGACAACAUUCCGAAAGGAAUGCUAAUACCGCAUACGUCCUACGGGAGAAAGCAGGGGACCUUCGGGCCUUGCGCUAAUAGAUGAGCCUAAGUCGGAUUAGCUAGUUGGGAGGGUAAAGGCCUACCAAGGCGACGAUCUGUAGCGGGUCUGAGAGGAUGAUCCGCCACACUGGGACUGAGAAACGGCCCAGACUCCUACGGGAGGCAGCAGUGGGGAAUAUUGGACAAUGGGCGGAAGCCUGAUCCAGCCAUGCCGCGUGUGUGAAGAAGGCCUUUUGGUUGUAAAGCACUUUAAGCGAGGAGGAGGCUACUUAGAUUAAUACUCUAGGAUAGUGGACGUUACUCGCAGAAUAAGCACCGGCUAACUCUGUGCCAGCAGCCGCCGUAAAAC